AGUACCUUUGUCACUAGACUCAAUAUAUAGCUAGGUCCGUGGUGCAUGCAUGAAUGUAGCAAUACAUUUGAUGGCGACCGGCAAACGGGUGCGGAACACGUACACAACCUUCCUAUAAGUGGGGAAUAGCCCAGAGAAAUUUGGAUUAAUACCCCGUAACAUAACGAUGUGGCAUCACAUUGUUAUUAUAGCUUCGGCGCUUAUUGAUGGGUGUGCGGCUGAUUAGAUAGUUGGCGGGGUAGCGGCCCACCAAGUCUACGAUCAGUAGCUGAUGUGAGAGCAUGAUCAGCCACACGGGCACUGAGACACGGGCCCGACUCCUACGGGAGGCAGCAGUAAGGAAUAUUGGUCAAUGGACGCAAGUCUGAACCAGCCAUGCCGCGUGAAGGAUUAAGGUCCUCUGGAUUGUAAACUUCUUUUAUCUGGGACGAAAAAAGGCGAUUCUUCGUCACUUGACGGUACCAGAUGAAUAAGCACCGGCUAACUCCGUGCCAGCAGCCGCGGUAAUACGGAGGGUGCAAGCGUUAUCCGGAUUCACUGGUUUAAAGGGUGCGUAGGCGGGCAGGUAAGUCAGUGGUGAAAUCCUGGAGCUUAACUCCAGAACUGCCAUUGAUACUAUCUGUCUUGAAUAUUGUGGAGGUAAGCGGAAUAUGUCAUGUAGCGGUGAAAUGCUUAGAUAUGACAUAGAACACCUAUUGCGAAGGCAGCUUACUACGCAUAUAUUG
rnacentral:rRNA from 1 species